GACCUGGUAGCUUAAUGGUAAAAAGCACAGGAUCAGGUGGGAGCCUUGUACGGCUGGGCUCACGCUUGAUUCGAUCUGGGUUCGAGUCCCAGCUAGGUCA